GCUAGUUCACCACGUUGAAAAUUCACAAAUGCCCAUAGAUUCCAGAGAUGCAUCUCCAGACGCACUCAUAUUACACACACUCAACACUUUCGUAAGUGAAUCACAUCAUGUUGCCCAAAAUUGUGUAUGGAGAUGCAUCUCCAUAAUAACCCUUAUUUUAAAAUUUCAAAACUCAAUGAGUUUUACGGAGAUACAUCUUCAGGCAGAUUUUAAUUCAUUAACCUUGCGCCAAAC
rnacentral:lncRNA from 1 species